GAUGAACGCUAGCGGCAGGCUUAACACAUGCAAGUCGAGGGGCAGCACGAGGUAGCAAUACUUUGGUGGCGACCGGCGCACGGGUGCGUAACGCGUAUGCAACCUACCUUUAACAGGGGCAUAACACUGAGAAAUUGGUACUAAUUCCCCAUAACAUUCGAGAAGGCAUCUUCUUGGGUUAAAAACUCCGGUGGUUAGAGAUGGACCCGCGUUGGAUUAGCUUGUUGGUGAGGUAACGGCUCACCAAGGCGACGAUCCAUAGCCGGCCUGAGAGGUGAACGGCCACAUUGGGACUGAGACACGGCCCAGACUCCUACGGGAGGCAGCAGUGGGGAAUAUUGCACAAUGGGGGAAACCCUGAUGCAGCGACGCCGCGUGAAGGGAGAAGUAAUCUCGGUAUGUAAACUUCUAUCAAGCAGGGAAGAUAGUGACGGUACCUGACUAAG
rnacentral:rRNA from 1 species